rnacentral:rRNA from 1 species
GACGAACGCUGGCGGCGUGCUUAACACAUGCAAGUCGAACGGAAAGGCCCUGCUUGCAGGGUACUCGAGUGGCGAACGGGUGAGUAACACGUGGGUGAUCUGCCCUGCACUUCGGGAUAAGCCUGGGAAACUGGGUCUAAUACCGGAUAGGAGCCAUUUUUAGUGUGAUGGUUGGAAAGUUUUUUCGGUGUAGGAUGAGCUCGCGGCCUUUCAGCUUGUUGGUGGGGUAAUGGCCUACCAAGGCGGCGACGGGUAGCCGGCCUGAGAGGGUGGACGGCCACAUUGGGACUGAGAUACGGCCCAGACUCCUACGGGAGGCAGCAGUGGGGAAUAUUGCACAAUGGGCGCAAGCCUGAUGCAGCGACGCCGCGUGGGGGAUGACGGCCUUCGGGUUGUAAACUCCUUUCGCUAGGGACGAAGCUUUUUGUGACGGUACCUAGAUAAGAAGCACCGGCUAACUACGUG